rnacentral:rRNA from 1 species
UACGUAGGUGGCAAGCGUUGUCCGGAUUUACUGGGCGUAAAGAGCGCGCAGGCGGUCGUCCAAGUCGCGUGUGAAAGCCCACGGCUCAACCGUGGAGGGUCAUUGGAAACCAUGUGGCUAGAGUCCGGAAGAGGAGAGUGGAAUUCCUGGUGUAGCGGUGAAAUGCGCAGAUAUCAGGAAGAACACCCGUGGCUAAGGCGGCUCUCUAGUACGGUACUGACGCUGAGACGCGAAAGCGUGGGGAGCGAACAGG